rnacentral:rRNA from 1 species
AUUGAACGCUGGCGGCAGGCUUAACACAUGCAAGUCGAGCGGGGUGAUGGUGCUUGCACUAUCACUUAGCGGCGGACGGGUGAGUAAUGCUUAGGAAUCUGCCUAUUAGUGGGGGACGACAUCUCGAAAGGGAUGCUAAUACCGCAUACGUCCUACGGGAGAAAGCAGGGGAGCACUUGUGACCUUGUGCUAAUAGAUGAGCCUAAGUCGGAUUAGCUAGUUGGUGGGGUAAAGGCCUACCAAGGCGACGAUCUGUAGCGGGUCUGAGAGGAUGAUCCGCCACAAUGGGACUGAGACACGGCCCAGACUCCUACGGGAGGCAGCAGUGGGGAAUAUUGGACAAUGGGGGGAACCCUGAUCCAGCCAUGCCGCGUGUGUGAAGAAGGCCUUAUGGUUGUAAAGCACUUUAAGCGAGGAGGAGGCUUACCUAGUUAAUACCUGGGAUAAGUGGACGUUACUCGCAGAAUAAGCACCGGCUAACUCUGUGCCAGCCGCCGCCGUAAAAC